rnacentral:lncRNA from 1 species
AUUUCAAAAAUUUUUUUUUUACAACCCGGAAAAUCUUGAUUAUUGUUCUUUUGCCGUAAAAAGUUAAGAGCAUUCACUUAGGGUGAGUAAGAAAUAAGUUGGGGAGAAUCGGUAAGUACCACAACUCUUGAAAAAAAAUGAAAAACCAAGCAAGCAUUGAAAAUAAAAAUAUAGAAAAGAAACAUCUGUUUUGUAAAUAUGAUGUGAAAGAAAAGAACAAAAAUAGAAAGAAUGAAAAUGAAUGCUUGCUUGGAAGAAAAAUAGUGAAAAA